rnacentral:rRNA from 1 species
UACGUAGGGGGCAAGCAUUGUCCGGAUUUAUUGGGCGUAAAGAGCGUGUAGGCGGUUAGGUAGGUCCGUUGUGAAAACUCGAGGCUCAACCUCGAGACGCCGAUGGAAACCAUCUGACUAGAGUCCGGAAGAGGAGAGUGGAAUUCCUGGUGUAGCGGUGAAAUGCGCAGAUAUCAGGAAGAACACCCGUGGCUAAGGCGGCUCUCUAGUACGUGACUGACGCUGAGACGCGAAAGCGUGGGGAGCGAACAGG